rnacentral:rRNA from 1 species
UCUUCCCUCUGGCUUCGUGCCUAAUACAUGCCAGUCGAGCGAACGGACGAGGAGCUUGCUCCUCUGACGUUAGCGGCGGACGGGUGAGUAACACGUGGAUAACCUACCUAUAAGACUGGGAUAACUUCGGGAAACCGGAGCUAAUACCGGAUAAUAUAUUGAACCGCAUGGUUCAAUAGUGAAAGACGGUUUUGCUGUCACUUAUAGAUGGAUCCGCGCCGCAUUAGCUAGUUGGUAAGGUAACGGCUUACCAAGGCAACGAUGCGUAGCCGACCUGAGAGGGUGAUCGGCCACACUGGAACUGAGACACGGUCCAGACUCCUACGGGAGGCAGCAGUAGGGAAUCUUCCGCAAUGGGCGAAAGCCUGACGGAGCAACGCCGCGUGAGUGAUGAAGGUCUUCGGAUCGUAAAACUCUGUUAUUAGGGAAGAACAAAUGUGUAAGUAACUAUGCACGUCUUGACGGUACCUAAUCAGAAAGCCACGGCUAACUACGUG